rnacentral:lncRNA from 1 species
CCAGAGGCCUGGGUGGAAGCUUACAACAGUAAAGAAUCCAGCUGGGACAGAGGUGUGAAGAAGAAAACAUGUUCCAGGAUUUUGAAGAGCCUUCAUAGAAAGGGAUUGAACAGCUCCUGUUUGUGGCAAUAUCUUGGGCUCGUUGGUCCUGGCUAAGCAAAGCAAGAGUUCCUCAAACUAGAGAGAACCAAGAGGCUCCUUUCUUCAAGCUCUGGUCUGCCUGUGAUACACGUCAUGGAUUUUCCUUCUCUCUGAGUUCUGCAGCCUAAGAUGGAACAGGAGUAGAUUGGACAUGUUCAGAAAAGAAUUCUGGAAGUUUCCCAAAUGUAAGACUGGACUGUGACACCCUCCUCACUCUCCAUGGAGGCAGUGUGUACGUAGGCUGCCCCUGAUGUCACCUCUCCUCAUCUCACAGGUCCCAGGUAUCUAACCAACAUUCUUUAGAGUAUUGCUCGCCUCUGCUUUCCUCCUUGUCCUGUGUAUUUAGGCCUGUAAUAGUUG